GGCGGAUGUAGCCAAGUGGGUCAAGGCAGUGGAUUGUGAAUCCACCAUGCGCGA
rnacentral:tRNA from 70 species